CUACAGGGGUAUCUAAUCCUGUUUGCUACCCACGCUUUCGUGCCUCAGUGUCAGUUACAAUCCAGAAAGCCGCCUUCGCCGCCGGUGUUCCUCCUAAUAUCUGCGCAUUUCACCGCUACACUAGGAACUCCGCUUUCCUCUCUUGCACUCAAGUCUGCCAGUUCGCAAGGCUAACAAUGGUUGAGCCAUUGCCUUUCACCUCGCGCUUAGUAGACCACCUACGCACUCUUUACGCCCAAUAAUUCCGGAUAACACUUGCCCCCUACGUAUUACCGCGGCUGCUGGCAC
rnacentral:rRNA from 1 species